UACGGAGGGUGCAAGCGUUAUCCGGAUUCACUGGGUUUAAAGGGUGCGUAGGCGGGCAUGUAAGUCAGUGGUGAAAUCUUCAAGCUUAACUUGGAAACUGCCAUUGAUACUAUGUGUCUUGAAUGUUCUGGAGGUUAGCGGAAUAUGUCAUGUAGCGGUGAAAUGCUUAGAUAUGACAUAGAACACCUAUUGCGAAGGCAGCUAACUACGGAAAUAUUGACGCUGAGGCACGAAAGCGUGGGGAUCAAACAGG
rnacentral:rRNA from 1 species